rnacentral:lncRNA from 1 species
GGAGUGGGCUUAGCCUCACAAUGGGCUAGCAAUAAUGUGAUUCAAUCAAUUGUUUAUUAAAUAUUAUUUUCUCUAUUCUUAAUGUAAAUUCUAUAGAAACCGAUUUUAUUAUGUGAAUUCAGCUGCUUUAAUUGGUUUAUGAAGGGUUUCUUCUAGCAUGAUCUAAAAUUAUUCAUUUACUUCAAAUAUUUUACUGUUCUUUUGUCAAUUUACGCAUAUAAAUACAUUUAAAAUGUGUAAGUCGUGUGUAAUAUGCCAUGAUUCAAAAAAUAUCUUCUGCACAUAAGGCAUGCUAUGUGGUCUAUCCAUUCUUAUUUAUACAAAAGUCGCACGAUUUUUGUCCACCAAAUUUGAAGCCUAAAAUCAGGGUUUGGACGACCAUUUUAUCUCUCUCCAUCAUGUUCGUGAGUCAACAUAUUAAUUAAAUGAGUCGUUAGUAGGUCACUCGUUAAAAACUCAUUAAUAACAAAUUCUUAACAGAUCUACCUGCGAGUAGUCCAUUCCAACCAGUUAAGAAAAUGAUUAGUUCGACCAUUUUUAAGUACUAAAAAAACCUUACUACAAUAGCCAUAAGAUUAAAUAUCACAUGAGUGAGAUUAAAUUAUUACCAUUGGAUUUUGUGACACCAUCUCACUCCCAGGCCAGAGUCCAAACUCCAAGGACCAACUUCGUUUGUAUCCUUUCUUGUCUCGACUCUCGAUGCUCACUCUCUCUCAUCAUCAUUCUAUCUCCGCCCAAACCACUACCACGACCACAUGCGUAUCUAAUCUCGUCGUCCAAGCCACGCACCACCAUACUAUUAAUGAAUCACGAUCACCACCAUCGGCUCCGCCCAUAACCCAACUGCAAGGUUGUGAAUCGAGAUGCAAAUUUCCAGCUGACAUUCAUAUUCAACAUCCAAUCCUUCCGAAUUAAGGUAAUUUAUUUAAUUUGAUUGUAAUAUCUUUCGAUUCAAAAAAAAAAAAUUAGGAUUUUGUAGAUUUACGGAUUGUAUAAUUCCAAAUUAGGAUUUGUAAAGUUAGGUAUUUCAUAAUUAGAAUUUAGAAUUUAGGGUUGUCAAUUGACACAACCUGAGUUAUACGGCUUUGGUAUUUCAAAAGUAUAUACUUCUUUCCUAGCGGUUUCCUAAUAUGUUCUUUAAUGUAAAAAUCUAACUAACUAAAAUAUUAAUUAUGUUUUUUUUUUCUUCAGAAGCAAUGGAUGCUACAGAUUUAAAUUUCGUGAACCUUAGUGAUGAGGAGUGUGUAGAAGUUACAAUGGGAACAUAAUCAGAUCUUAGUGUUUUUAUGUUUUGAGUAACAUUUAUGUGGCAAUGUUGUAUGUAGAUACUAAUUUAGUAUGAAACUUUCUAUUUGAUUAUUUAUUUAAGUAAAAUAUAUUUUAUUUAAUGGAUAACAGGUUAGGUCAUAUAUCCAUUAAUUUCAAUGAGAGUUCAGGUUGGGUAAUAUUACUCUUUUAUUUUAACAGAUUUGACACGACACGAUCUGUUAAGAUAUCGGGUACGUCAUGAAAACGUCAUCCAAAAACACAAACACGACACGAUUACCAUGUCUAUAUUAUAGGCAUGAGUCACCAUGUUCUUAAGAAACCAAAAUGAAAAACCUUCAAAAAUAAAAAAUAGAAACAAAACAAAAUGAAAGGAAUGCUAGGGAAUAAAUUUCGGAUAUGCAAAAGUGCAAGGAAAGGCUUGAAAAUUUCAAGUGAUAAUAUUCCCGACUUAUCCAGAAGUGACGUGGCGUGGACUCGUCUCUCUCUUCCCAAUCAUAUAAUUUUACAUGUGAAAGUGACAUGUUAUUUGUUCAUAUCAAUAAGGCACGUUUUUAAAAUUUUAAGGGCCCAUACAAAACUUAGACUUUAGAGUCUUAGACUUAUAAUUUACGUAUAGAAAUGUGAUACCUCAACCGCAGCCUUUCGUUACAUAAAAUAUUUACAUUUUUCUAUUUUUCUAUUUUUCAAGACUUGAGACUUGUAUCUAGUGGUCGAAGUAUUUUUGUUUUUCUAAUAGAUUUUAGACCAGUAUUCCAAAUACUUGAUUUAUUAAGUCAAGUAAUCUCACUCAUAAAGUUUUGUGUGUUUUAUGUUUAUCACAUUCGUAACCAAAGUUUUUGACGGCCUUUUACCCUAAAAUAUUGUCCCAACUACACAUUUUUCUAUCAAAUAUUCAAAGAGACCGGUUACUAAAUCCUCCCACCACACCGAUAUUACACUAACUUAACUAUACUGUUAAGUGUUGAAUUUAUCACAAAAAAAUCUCGGUGUUAUUAAGUUGAAUGUGAAAUUUAUAUUCAACAUAUUCAAGUCACUCAUCAUAUAGCAUCACUUUCAAGGCAAUAAGAAUGCAGGUAAGAGAAUAUGAAAUAUUUCCUUAAUUGUUGAUUGGUAUGGUUUGGCCAUCCAUUAAUUUGAGGCCUAAACUGAACCAAACUAAACACAAAUUUUAGCUUUGUUCAGUUGCGAAUCGUUUUACCUUGAAUCAAACCUCCCUAUGCCUACCCUUAGGGUGCGUUUGUUGCACCGGACUGUCUCGGACUGGACUAGCUGCAGGGACUAAGCUGGACUGGCUUAGACUAGACUAAGCUGGACUAGUUUAGUGAGGCGUUUGGUGCAGUGUCGGACUAAAAAACAGAAUAAUAAAAAUAAUAAAAAUUAAUUCACUUUUUAUUUUUUAUUUUUUUCGUUUUCUAGAAUCUCCCUAUUUUGGUCAAACUAUUUCCUUCUUUUUCUCCCCUGUCUCUUCCCUUUUCCUUAUCCUGUCCGACUCUCUCUCCCUUUUUCUCCCUUGUCUCUUCCCUUUUCCUUAUCCUGUCCGACUCUCUCUCCCUCCCUCCCUCCCUCCUCACUUCCUCUCACAACUUCAUAAUCUACUGCAAACCUUCAAAAUCAAACCACAUAGCAAGAAAUAAAGUGAAAAUUUAGGAGUUGGGGUUGGGGUGCAUGUGUGAUUGCCUUGAAGGUGGGAGAUGGAGAAGGUUUGCAAUUAGGGAGUUUCAUGUUUUCUGGGUUUGGUUUUCCUUCAGUCAAUCCCAUCGUUGAUUUAAGCUUAUACCCACUGCAGAUUUUGUGUGUGUGUGUGUUUUAUAGGUUUCUGGGUUCUAUUUUGCAGGUUGGAUCUGGAUUUGAAAAAUGGAACGACUGCAUAUUUUUUUUUGUUUUGAAUUUUGCGGGAUAUGGGUUUGAAAAUAGUUGUGGAAGCGAGGAAGAAGCAGAUGGGAGGGGCGAAGUGAGGAGAGGCGAACCGGACAGAGGUCGUCUUAGUAGUCCGCCCGAUUUUGGGGGGCCUCGCGAAGCCCCUCUAGCGAAUCGUUUAGUCGGGGUUAGUGUAGGCGAGUCUCAUUAACGCUAGUCCGUGUGUGCAACAAACACAGGAUUACAGUGAUAGUUAGUCCAGUCUAAGCUAGCGAAAGCUAGCGAGCUCAAACAAACACGCCCUUAGUGACUUGUUUAGUAUUAAGUUACACAUGGUAUGCAUUUAGAAACCGUAUUUGCAAAACUUUAAUUAAGUUAGAUAUCGUUUAAUGACGUGGAUAAGAAAGUUUAUUAUUGAGUAGACGCAACAAAAAUAUUGUCCCUAUCAUGUCUAGUACCCGAGCACAAAUGCAGAAGAAUGAAGUGGUAGUGCACAAGACAAGCAUAUAACAUAGUUUAGGUUUAAAACACUUCCACCACCAUUUUGGGUUUUCUAGUUUUAGACCUCUCUUAUCUAUAUAUAUCCCACUAACUUCACGAUUAUUCAUAAAUCAUUAUUAUUUUUUCUUUAUUUAAAAAUGAGACUAAUUGGUGGUUUCGCCACGACAGUCUAUCAUUUUGAGAGCCGGAAAGACUCAAAGAAACAUUUCAGCCUCUUUCUGCCACCACCAUGCUAUUUACCAGUAACAAGAAUCGAACUUAAGACAUGCCGUGUGAAAUGCGGGUUUAGAAUUCGUUCUU